CUGUUCUACUCAGUGUUGGUCAUUGCAAUUACUACUCUUUCUAGUUUUAAUGAUGAAUGUGACAUCCUAAAUAAAAGUGAGAUUGGAGACCAGAUGGUGGCUUACCUUCUAGAACAGAGGACCUCAGACCAAAGCUCUGGAACCCACCUGUAGGAGUUGUUGUUUAGGUUUGGGGCCGCCAGCAGGCUGGGCUAGCUUCGCAGCGGUAGACAGAGACGACCGGAGACACACGGCUGGGUUGAGAAGCUGCAAUUUAAUCUUUAUUCACGAACGGCCACCAGGUUCCAGACAAAAGCAUGAUGCCGACCAGACUUCCUUGGACAGAUGACCCCACCAGUGUGUCCUGGAGCUCUGCUUCCCCAGAGCCCCACCCUACUAGGGAAAGAGAGAGGUAGACUGGGAGUAUGGAUCAACUAGUCAACGCUCAUGUUCAGUGGGGAAGCAAUUACAGAAGUCAGGCCUUCCACCUUCUGCAUCCCACAAUCCAUACUCUUAGAAGGAUAAAAAAUAUGAGAGCUAUCAGGGGAGGGGAUGGAAUACAGAGAUCUGGUGGUGGGAAUUGUGUGGAGUUGUACCCCUUUUGU